AAAUUAUUCAAAGGAGUCAACAUUUCUCGUUUUUUUUUUUCAAUUUCCAAAUGGCAGCUGUGUGAAAUCAGUCCAUACAAGAACAGAAAGUCAGUAUCUGAAGAUCUCGUUGUCACAGAUAACAAGAGAAUACACUUACAAGGAUGACAGGACCAUGACAUGUUUAAGAUUUUACUCACAAUUGAACCGAGAACAUACAAAAUUAAACACAUGCAUUGAUGUUCUUCUUUAGUCUUUAUGUUAUUAAGGUAAAAGCAUUGCAGUCUUUUAAUAUUGUAUCUGCAUGAUGUUUGUGUUUUCAAAAACAGACCUCUUUUUUAUCAUAUCUGGAUGUAAAUUAAUAUUUCUUUUCACAGAUAAACCUCUUUGGCUCUUUGCAAGAACCAUCAAACCAAGUGUGUAGAUUGCCGUUUCUGUCACCCAGACUGGCACAGUUUUCUCCGGAUGGAUCGUUCACCUUCCAGUUAUCAGAGUUUGAUCAUUCACCCAAACCCAUCGACCUUCAGUCUCCAGAUCAUUAAGACCGAUCCAGUUCUGGUUUAAAAAGAAAGAUGGGAGUGAGCCGGAUAACUCGGGCAACGAGUACUGUGCUUGUCUGGGACAUCAAGAUUCCCAUUUAAACUCUUGGUUUGAUGCAUCUUGUGAAACCAAGAUGAUGUUCAUGUGAAAAUUAAUAUUUAUUGACUCUGUAGUGAUGACUAACAUAACUGAAAGAGACUCGCUGAUAUUCACAGUUUCUUUACAAUAGUUCAUUUCAUUACCGUCAGAAAAAAGGGUCAAAGUAAUCCCUACACAUGUUAACUUUAUUAGUCCAACCAAAGAAACAUGGUUACUACACUUUUACUAUAGUAAAAGCAUGGUUAAUUUUC